rnacentral:lncRNA from 1 species
ACAAGGCUUGUGCAGCUCUGGAAAAUAACCUAUUUCAGUGAAGAGGGCCCAAGAGGAAAAGCUAUCCCCGUGAUUUAGGGUGAUGAUUUCAAUUCUCAAAUGCCCUCUAAAUAUAGUCUGCUUGCUGGAAAAAAGGUGUUUACAAUGGGAUUAGCUUGUGGUAGGUGUCUUGCUUUCAAGAGCCUGGAAGGAAAAAAAAAAAAAAAAGAGAGCCUGGAAGGAGCGCUGAACAGAGGGGAGGAAUAAAUGUGAAAUGAGUUUCAUAGGUGUAUGUUGGCAAGACGAGCAGUAUCUCGGUGGGAAGCCAUUCCGAGGGAGUCGCAUGGGCGGAUGGAUAUGUUUUCUCCUUUUGCUAGUGCGCUAUGGCCAUUGGGACACAGGACAAAGACAAAUCAAGUUGGGACCCAAAGCAUUCGUUUUUAAGAACUGAAUAGAUGAGAGUAG